UACGAAGGGGGCUAGCGUUGUUCGGAUUUACUGGGCGUAAAGCGCACGUAGGCGGAUCGUUAAGUCGAGGGUGAAAUCCUGGAGCUCAACUCCAGAACUGCCUUCGAUACUGGCGAUCUAGAGUCCGGAAGAGGUGAGUGGAACUCCUAGUGUAGAGGUGGAAUUCGUAGAUAUUAGGAAGAACACCAGUGGCGAAGGCGACUCACUGGUCCGGUACUGACGCUGAGGUGCGAAAGCGUGGGGAGCGAACAGG
rnacentral:rRNA from 1 species